rnacentral:tRNA from 1 species
UAGGCUAAAGUCCGCUGGCUUGGGCUCCUAGUUGUUAACUAGUUUUUUACGGGGUCGAGGCCCGUUAGUCUAUU